AGCAGCCGCGGUAAUUCCAGCUCCAAUAGCGUAUAUUAAAGUUGUUGCAGUUAAAAAGCUCGUAGUUGAAUUUCGAGAUCAAAUUGUUGGUCGUGCCUUGGUACGUACUGACAUUAUUGAUUUCUCCCUUCUGAAGAACCAUGAUGUCAUUAAUUUGGUGUCUUGGGGAAUCAGGACUGUUACUUUGAAAAAUUAGAGUGUUUAAAGCAGGCUCGCGCUUGAAUACAUUAGCAUGGAAUAAUGAAAUAGGACGUUUAAUUCUAUUUUGUUGGUUUCUAGGAUUGACGUAAUGAUUAAUAGGGAUAGUUGGGGGCAUUAGUAUUCAAUUGUCAGAGGUGAAAUCCUUGGAUUUAUUGAAGACUAACUACUGCGAAAGCAUUUGCCAAGGAUGUUUUCAUUAAUCAAGAACGAAAGUUAGGGGAUCGAAGACGAUCAGAUACCGUCGUAGUC
rnacentral:rRNA from 1 species